AAAAAAGAAGAAAUCAUAUAAAUGAAUGUUCUCUUCUGACCUUAUUCCCUCAUUGCGCUGCCUAUCUCUGGGGUCCUUUUGUUAUGGUGGCUGGUGUUUGCUUUAUUUUAUUUAGGUCUCUCUUUUGUACCUAGACUUUCCAAACAUUCCUAACAACCCUUGGAUGUCAGUACAUAGGGCUGUCAUUAGGCACGAGAGCAUCCCAGAAAGCAAAAGUGCCCAAAAAAUGGACUCAGAUGCCCCCUCGCAUCUGAGUAUUCCUGACAGCAUGUGAACAUUAAUUAUUAAUUUUCUGUACCUCAGUUUUCCGAAGCCAAUCUUUAGGACAAAAAAAAAAAAAAAAAAAAGGAAGAAAAUAACUUAAAUGCCAAUUUGUAGUUAAAGUUUCCUCUUUGCCUUGAAGACAUCAAAGCCUGUAAUAGUUUGCCUGUAGGGAGUUUAAUUCAAACACAGAGCGGUAAGGAGAUCCGGGCUGGUCCACACGAUCGUCUCCACAGGUCUGGGCGACCUGAAAGUGCUG
rnacentral:lncRNA from 10 species